AACGAACGCUGGCGGCAUGCCUAACACAUGCAAGUCGAACGAUGCCUUCGGGCAUAGUGGCGCACGGGUGCGUAACGCGUGGGAAUCUGCCUUUCGGUUCGGAAUAACUCAGGGAAACUUGAGCUAAUACCGGAUAACGUCGCAAGACCAAAGAUUUAUCACCGAAAGAUGAGCCCGCGUAGGAUUAGCUAGUUGGUGAGGUAAAGGCUCACCAAGGCGACGAUCCUUAGCUGGUCUGAGAGGAUGAUCAGCCACACUGGGACUGAGACACGGCCCAGACUCCUACGGGAGGCAGCAAUGGGGAAUAUUGGACAAUGGGCGAAAGCCUGAUCCAGCAAUGCCGCGUGAGUGAUGAAGGCCUUAGGGUUGUAAAGCUCUUUUACCCGGGAAGAUAAUGACGGUACCGGGAGAAUAAGCCCCGGCUAACUCCGUG
rnacentral:rRNA from 1 species